rnacentral:RNase_P_RNA from 1 species
ACGAUGAACCGGUUUGCCGCUCGGAUGCGCGUUGAGCGUGUCCGGGAGGAAAGUCCGGGCUCCGCAGGGCAUGAUGCCGGGUAACGCCCGGGGGCGUUUCAAUGCGCCGCAUUGAAACGCUACAGAAAGCGCAACAGAAAAUAUACCGCCCUAUCUGCGCUUGCGCAGAAUAGGGUAAGGGUGAAAUGGCGGGGUAAAAGCCCACCUCAGCGGCAGUAAUGCCGCCGCAUGGCAAGCCUCAUCAGGAGCAAAAGCGAACAGCAGGAUAGGCCGGCGCGGAAACACGCCGGCCGGCAGAUGGCCCGUCUGGCACCUGCGGGUUGCUUGCUGGAAUUUGUCCGCAAGGGCAAAACAAGACAGAUGGUAAACGAAACGCGGUUCCGGCUUUCCGGGAGCGCGUUUGCACAGAACCCGGCUUACAGGUUCAUCGUUUUU